rnacentral:lncRNA from 1 species
GUGAGAGCCCAGGGCCUGCUGCUGUGUUUUGGGACGCAGCAGCUCCCUUGUUCUCUUCCACACUGCCUUGGGGGGAGCCCGGCCAGGCUGACGAGGAUGGGCUGCCGCACGUGCGGCCAGCUCAAAAGGGGAAGCAGAACUGGCUGAGGGGCCUGACUUCUUGUCCCCGGGAGCUGGGCAAAUCCUCUGCGGGUAAGAAAGUCCCCAGAGCUGGUAGCUCUCCAUGUGCAGCUGGGGAUCCCGCCCUUGACAGAGGAGGGCAGCCCAGCCAGGAGAGAUGUCACAGGAGUGGGUCCUGUAGCAGCACCAUCCCAAGGGAAGAUGUGGCUUCCCCAGAAGGUGCACUCCCUGCUUGGAGUCAAGAGCAGGGGCUCAGCAGCCAGAGCUUCUCAGAGCAGGGAGCUCAGGCAGCGAUGGAGGGCCCCUACCCACAGCACGCCUGAGACCCUCAGCAGCAAGCAGAGCUUGUGCCGGGGCAGGCAGGUACCGGCGUUCAUUCCUGGGGUUUUUGCACUCCUUCCAGUGCUAGGUUUCCACUCUUGCUCCGGCAAGAAGAAAGGCAAGGAGGUUCAGAAGCCCAUGGAGACCUUGUGACUGUGUAAGUGAUUUCUCGCCAGCUCUCUCCCACACAUGCUUCCCCUCAUUUUGCAUUGGACCCCAAGCAUCCUCCUCAGCUAGCCAGCUGGGGGACACAUCCUCCCCACGUUGCCCUGCCCAAAGCGCAGGCACUGCACAGGGCCUCCAUCCAGGGGAUGCACUUCACAGCCUGCUCGAGCUCGCCUCCUGCCUCUAUCCUGGCCCUCCUCAAGGCUGAGCCUCUGCUCAGCUCUUCUCCUCCACCUCCACUGCACACAAGGGCAGGAGGAGCUGGGCUGAGCACCCUGGCAGUUGGGCUUGCAGUGCACACCAUGGUGGCCCUGGUGCUGUGCCUUGCACACCAAUUGGGAGCCCUUUGGAGGAGGCCUCAGUCUGUCAUCUCCACACUUCUGCUCACUGCCUUGCCCUUCCCGAUUGCAGUGUGCCCACGGGCCUUGUGGAGGAGCAAGUGGAGAGCAGCACCAGUGCCUCCAGCCCAGCCAGUGACCAACACCUGGUGAGCAAGGGCAGUCCCCCUCACAUAGCUCUCAGCCGGCCCCUGCAUGGACACUCGCACCCGCCUCAGCAAGGAGCAGAACCACCAAGCCCAAGGCACGGGAUCCCUGCUCCCCUCCUGGCCUGGCCCAGCUGUGCACAGCCUUUGGCAGCUGGCUGCUGUCCCCACUGCUGUUGGCCAGCAAAGGGGAAAGGCAGCGGGCAGCUCUAUCCCAAAGGGAGAGAGGGUGGGAAGCAGUUGGGAGGAGCAGCUGUGGAAAGGCUGCCUUCCAGGGAGGUCCCCAAGGCCUCCUGUUGCAGCAGGGGCUGCACCCAGGAGGCUGCAAGCACCAGCAUGACAGCUUCAGCAGCCCUGGCUUGCCAUCUCCCUCAGCCUGACAGAGCCACCAGCCUCCCUCAAGGUCCAUUCCCUCCACACCUUCUCCCCUUCCUCUCUGAGCCCUUGUCUUUUCCACCCUUGUCCACAAAGGCUGAGAAGAGCCUCAACGGAGGGGUGCCCAGCCCUGAGGAAAGCAGCAUGCCUUGUGGGGAAGAAACCGGUGAGAUGGGCAAGCCCCGAGCUGCCCGGGUGCCCAGGGAACAGGGCUGGCAGGACGGGGGCAUGCCGGGUGCUGGGCUGAGCCAAGCAGCUGGCAGCAAAGGGCAUCUCCUCCUUGAAAGUCCGGGUAUAGCCAUAAGAAGACUUUGGGAGGCAGCUUGGCUGUGGGGUGCCCCAGAUGCCUUGGGGAAACUGUUUCCUGGGGCAGUGUUGACAGAGGUGACAAAAGAUGCCGGGGAGAAAAGCCCUGGCAGAAGCGACUCAGGCUACUGCUGGUGA